ACAUUUCAUAUCUUUAUAAUAAUGGAUUAGUGGACUACAAAUACGUUUACAAGAAGGUGAAUAAUCAAGUUCGCAAAAAAAAAAAGGGGAAUAAUCAGACUCUACUGAAAAAAAAAUUUGCAAACAACUCUAUUAAAAUUUUAGUCAUCUUUAAAAUCCAUUACCAAAAUUCAAACAGAACAAAAAGUUUGAGAUACUAAAUGUGAAAGCUUGAACUUGAGAUACUACAAUCCAAAACAAAACCACAAGUUUAAGCAGACGGAAACAUACACGUUUCCAUACCUUUGGGAGGGUAUCUGUCAAUUUUGAAAGCUUCUAGUCAUAAAUGAGUAAUGUAUCUAUGAACUUGGAGCUGAUACAGUACAGGCACAGCUACGUUCAACCGCCAAAUCUUUCAAUACUAAACUGACGUGGGACAAUAUUGAUAAACAACUCCCUCUCUUUGAAUCUUAUUGUAGCAAUUGGCCACUGUAAAAUAUUAACGAUUUGGAACUUUACAACUUCUGUAUAUAGCCAGAUAAUUAAUGGCAUAUGGGUGAUAAAACUAAAAACAGUAGUUUUAAAUUAUUUAUUUUGAGAUAUUUAAACUACAAUUAACAACAAUAAAUGAUUUUAAUUAUUUUAAAUGUUGAUAAUUAAUUAAAUAAUUAAAAUGUUAAUUUCUUUAUUUAAUAAACUUGUUUGAUAUACUCCAGUGAUAAAGAUGUUCUAAACUGAGAAUAAGCAGUUAUCAAAAUUCUAGCGUCGUUAAAUAGCAAAGACGAUAUCGUAUUUAUGUGUUAACCCAGCAUAAAUUAUCUUUCGAUAGAACGCGUUUCAAAGUUAUCUUUCUAUAGUGUUUGAUAAAUUGGUAACAAAAUCUCAAAGAUGACUACUUUUCCUACCCCUUCUGAUAGUACUUGGGAUUCUAAUUAAUAUAGCAAUGACAAUAAUAAUUAAGGUUUACCACAUACGUGAAACUUUAUAAAAGUAGCCCAUUUCUUCAUCAUUGAUGCUUUACCUGCUUGGAGCCUCCACAACUCGAGGUGUGUGACCAAUUAAAUUCAGAUUUUUUUUUCUCCCCCAUCUACAGUGAAACCUCUAUAAAUUAAUAAUAUUAGGACUACACUAAAAUUAUAAUUAUUUAUUAAUUUAUAGAGAUAUUAAUUUAUCGAUAUACUAAUUGAACCAAAAACUCGAUUUGAGACGAUAAAAUUAUAUUAUUUUAUAGAGAUUUUUAGUGUAUAUUAAUUUAUAGAGUAUUAAUUUAAAGAGGUCAUAUUGUAUUUUUAACCUUUUCUAGAAACUGUAAAUUGCCUAAUUACAUUGAGUAAGAGACAAGUGAUGUUGAUAGAGGUGGUACGAGGUGGGUAUUCAAACACCCAUCCUGGUUCGGUUCAGAUCUAUUUGAAUUUCAAAUUUUAGAGAUUAGAAAUUUAAGCCCUAGUCGGAUAUUUAUAAUUUUUAGUUGGAAUUCAGUUCAAAUCUUUGUGGAUUCAAAUAUCCAUUUAAAUUACUAAUUCAAAAUUUCUAAUAUUUUUUCAAAUCAAAAAAUAAAAAUAAAAUACAAUAUAAUUUGAAUUUGUAUGUUAAAUAUCUAAAAUUAACAUGAAAAUAUAGUUCGGUUUAGAUAUUUGGAUGGAGAGUCCGUAGGUGUUUAGAGUAUUUGCGGUGUUUGAAUAUUUAUGAAUAUUUAUGAAUAUUUAUUUUAGCUAUUUUCAGGUAUUUUAGGCAAUUUUGAGUAUUUUAGAUAUUUAUAGGAUAUUUAGUGUGAUUUGGGUAUAUUGGGAUUCUCGAAAUAUAUUGUUUCGAGACAGAUUUAGAUGUAGUUCUUCAUAUAUCAAAAUUUGGGACUCAUUUGGAUAUCUUACAAGUUUUGGCUCGAGUUCAAUACAAUUUUUUUAAUCGGAUUUGGUUCGAUCGAUUCUCUGAACUCUAAUAUUUUUCCCAUAAUUAAAAGUUACAGUAUCAAAAAAUAUUAUAAAGGAAAUCAAGUAAAGUAAUGAUCUGGAAUUUAUCAUGCUUUACCAAAUACUACUAUAUGGGUUUCCACUAAUGCCACAAAAAUGAUAAUAUGUACAAUUUACGAGUCAAUAAGAAAAUAUCAGCAAUUUAGAAAUAUUAAGAGAGAAUUCAUGGCAUAAACAAUUCACUAGCAAAAAAAAACUAUAUUACCAUAGUAUAAGUUGUAUCAUCUACUCAAAGAAAGACAAAAAAACAUUUUGGUGAGUUGCGAGCGACGCAUGAAGACACUCAAACAUUUUUCUUCUUUGCUCUAGUACGCCGGAGGUCGUCUCCUUUUUUUCUUUUUUCCCCUCUCUUCACCUUCAUUUUCACAUUUGUUUGGAUCAAAAGAGGAAGAAGUUAGAUGCCAAGGCAAAACGUGGAGUCUUUAUUGGAUAUACUAAUCAAUCCAAAGGCUAUAGAGUUCUCAUCUUAGAGAAUGAGAACAUUGAAAUAUCAAGAGAUAUAGAAUUUAAAGAAAACAAGAAGUGGGAUUGGAAACGGCAAAAAGAAGUAAAAAAAAAGACAUUAAAAUUAUCUAUGGAAGACUCUUCAUUCCCUAAGGAACAAACUGAAGGUACUUUCCAGCCAUGUUUUCAUUCAAACCAAUGAUCAUGAUACUGGUGAUGAAGAUGGAGAAGCUUUUGAGCCACCAAAGAAGGUCAAAUCCAUGACUGAAAUCUUGGAAAAGGCACCAAUAAUAGUGGUUGAAGAGGCGGCUCAAGCAAUAGAAGCUUAUCUUCAUUCAAAUGAAAAACCACAUACUUAUGAUGAAGCAUGUGAUAACAAGGAAUAAAUAGAGGCCAUAAAUGAGGAAAUAAACAUGAUUGAAAAAACAAGACAUGAAAACUAGUGGACAAGCCUGAGAAGAAGAAUGUGAUAAGUGUGAAGUGGAUCUACAAGAUCAAAACCAAUGCAAGCAAAAAUCACAUCAAACAUAAGGUGUGGCUAGUUGUAAGAGGAUUCUCUCAAGAAUAUGGUGUUGACUAUCUUGAGAAGCUUUCCCAUGUCUCAAAAAAUGAUACAAUAAAAACCAUACUUGCAUAUAUAUAUGUGGCUCAAAUGAAGUGGUGUUUGUAUCAGAUGGAUGUAAAGUCAGCAUUUCUCAACGGAGAACUAAAGGAAGAAUGUAUGUUACACAACCACUUGGGUAUGUGAUGCAAGGAAAUGAACAUAAGGUGUUAAGGAUACACAAGGCCUUAUAUGGUUUAAAGCAAGCCCUACGGACAUGGCAUGGAAGGAUAGACUCAUACUUCAUUCAAAACGAUUUUGAGAGGAGUAUGAAAGAUGCAGCCUUAUAUGUCAUGAAACAAGGAUGAGAUGUGUUGAUCGAGAGUCUAUAUGUGGAUGAUAUAAUCAUCAUAGGAAGCAAUGUUCAGAUAAUCAACACUUUCAAGGAGACUAUGAAGAAAGAAUUUGAGAUGAUGGAUCUUGGAUUGUUGAACUACUUCCUUAGAAUGGAAGUAAUCCAAGACAAUGGAGGCAUAUUUUUCACACGAAAAUAUGCAAACAAACUUGUUGAUAAGUUUGGGAUGUGAGACAGCAAGAGUGUAAGCACUCCACUUACACCACAUGGAAAAGGAGUUGAUGAUGACAAAGAGUAUGGAGAUCCGACUAAUUAAGUAUAGAAGCAUUGUUGGAUGGCUUUUAUACUUCUGUGAAUCAAGUAUACAUGUCAUCACCUCGCAUGAAGCACUACCAAUAAGCCAAAAGGGUGUUAAGAUAUAUCAAAUGAACAUCAAGCUUUGGAGUGUUCUUUACAAGUGUGAAAGAACCAAAACUCAUAGGCUACUCGGACAGCAAUUGGGGUGGUUCUAAGGAAGACAAGAAAAUCACUUUAGGUUAUGUGUUUACUCUUGGUUCAGCCAUGUUUUGUUGGCAGUCAAGCAAGAAACAAAAAGUGAUACAAUCAACAGAUGAGGUGGAAUACAUAGAUGUGUGUGCAGCCGCAAAUCGAGUUGUGUGGCUACAAAGACUAUUUGAAGAUUUUGGUCAGAAGUUUGAAGGAGGAAUUCCAAUCUUAUGUGAAAACAAAUCAGCAAUAACAAUUGAAAAGAAUCUAGUGCAACAUAGAAGGACAAAGCACAUAGAGAUCAAGUACCAUUUCAUGAGAGAAAUUGAGCAAAAAGGAAUCAUUGAACUAGAGUAUUGUAAAGGGGACUAUCAACUCGCAAACAUUCUCACAAAGGCAUUGGGCGGUUCAUGGUUUGAGUAUGUCAUGAAACAGCUUGGAGCGAAGUCGAGAUAUGAUUAAGGAGGAGUAUUAAAUUAUAUAAUCUAAUCUCUCCUUAAUACAUUCACAUAAGUUAGUUAUUACGUACACAAAGAGUUGUAACUCUUUAUGUUGUAUCUUUUAGUAUAAAGAUUUGUGUUUCUUAUAUAAUGAUUUGAUAUAUAUAUAAAGGUCAAUCAUAAGUUAUUCUGAAUAAUUAGUUACAGUAUCAAAUAUAACAGAAAAAUUUCUUCUUAUUCUCUCUCAUAUUUGUGUGUAACACACUGUGAUCAUGGUGUAACACAGGCGGUUGAAGAAAUAUUAACACUAGUCACGUGGCGUCGGAAAAUACAUCUCCCAUCAUGGAUGAACCUUCGACCAAGGCGGUGGGCUCUUUCGAUGAUGGGUUGAGACAGUUCGUGGGAGUCACCCAUGAACUUGCUUUUGUUUUCGUCAUAUGAUCUAUAUUAGAGCUAAUGUCAUGAGGUAUAGAGGGGGUGGUUUUGUUGUGGUGAAGCAUGAGAUUAUGCAUUAUAAAGCAUGGUUUAAGUCGUGUUGCUUCGGUUUAUGGAGUUAUUUGGUUCGAUAUGCGAAGUUGCGGUGGAGCUGUUGUUAGUUCCAUUAUUGGGAGGUCCAAGCUUAUUCGGAUAGUGGGAUCAGUAAUGUGUUUGGUGCCAGACUGGAGAUCAAGAAUCUUUUGAUAGAGCGUUUAGCCACAUGGAACGGUGCAGGUGCUUUUGUUGAUGACAUUGCUUAUCUUUUGACAUAUCUUGUUUUGUUUCUUAUCUUCACCUAGAGAGAUUUGGAUUGUGUUCGGAUUCUCUGUAAGUCCAGUAGCUCUUGAUCCCGCUUCGACUUUCACUUUGUGUUGGCACUUUUAUAGCAACCUUUCUUCUUGUCGUUGAUUAGCAUUUUGAUUUGGUUUCUAAGUCCUGACUAUAGCGACAGUGGAAAAGCGUUCAAUGGAUUAACAGUUUUUAGUUUCUUCCUUCUUGCUUAUGGUUGCAUAGUUUGUUAUUUAUGCAAAUAUCAACAUUAUGAAGGGUUUGUCUAUUUAAUGUUUGUCUUUUCAAAUAUUAUGGUUAUGUUCUGGUUCGGUUUUGGUGUCUUGUUUCUUUAUUUUACUAAAUAAUUUAGUUAUCUUAUUUUGGUUGUUGAAUUCAUAGUUGGUUUUUAUGAUGUGUGUAUUAGGUUUCUCUCUUUGUGAUGUGAAUUAUGAAGAUAUUUUUGUGUUAUGUCGAUUUAAGUGCAUGUGUUAGAGUUAUUCUAAAAAUCUGUUGUUAUAUUAUAAUUCUACUUUGCAAAAAAAAAAAGUUGUAUCAUCUAAUCUAAAGGAUAUAAUCAAAAUCACAGUGCCCAAAACUUUAAUAAUUGAUGUGUAUUUGUUGUAUAUAUAUUCUCUCAAUUAACUGACGAUGCGAUUAAUUAUGGUAUUUAUCUAAUGUAUGAAUAACAUUAUGGUCAGUGCAGCUUCAACGAUUUUCCCUUUUCAUUACCCCAGUGCAGUUUUAAGAUCAAUAUGAUUACGAAACUAAUUGGAGAAGCUUCAUUUUGGUCUUCAAUUGGAGAAGCUACCAAAUCUGGUCAUAAGCACAUGAAGGGGACAAUGAUGUUUCCAGAGAAAAUUAUCUCUAAACUUCCGGUUGAAAAAAUUCCUCCCCCUGUACUUAAAGAUGACGGAAGUCUUCGAUUUCCUUCCUUGGGCUGCCCGUAUGAAUCAGUCCGCGAGAAAUCUCUUCCGAGCUGCUGAGCCUACUUACCGACUGGAUGGCACUCCUCAGGUGUUCAAGCCCUCCCGGUGGUCUUAUUCAUGCUGUCUUGAAUAGGCUAUGAGGGCGAGAAUGUAGGAUAGCCUGUAAGAAGCUGGGGGACUCUUCAUUUUUAUUCCAUAUUCCUCAUGAAAACACAUGCAAGUGGGUUAUUCAACGAGGAGUUUGGCAUGUUGAUGAUUGUCUCCUUUUUCGUCGCCCCUUGGAGUCCUGUAAACUCUCUCAAAAUUCCUGAAAUCUCUACUUUACCGGUAUGGGUGAACCUGAAGAAUAUCCCAGACUCUUGUUUCUCUAGAUUAGGAAUUAGUCAUAUAGCAUCUGGGUUGGGAGAGCCAAUGCUUACGCACAGACCUCGUUUAGACCCAACAAUUAUGGGAGAAGCCAAGAUAUUAGUUGAGGUUGAGUUGGAUAAACCUUUUCCGAAACGAAUUGCUCUAGAUGAUAAACAAAGGAAUAUCUAUCUGGUGGAUGUCGAGUAUACUUGGAUCCCAAGUGCUUGUGAGAGAUGUGGAGCGCUUGGUCAUAAGGAGAAGAGGUGUCUUCUGCCCCAUAAACCACAUGAUUCCGCUCCUGCGAAAGCUAAUGUUUCAAAUGAAGAGAUCCCUUUGGUGGCGAUAGAUAUGUUGCUACCAAACUCAUCCACAUUGGUGGGUGCUGUGGAGACUGACUCGCACUUGACUCCUGGCCAUCAAGCACACAAGAUCACUACAAAUUCUGCUCUCACUACACCUCUUGAGGUCCCUGAUCCUACUACAUUCACCCAUUCACAUGAGGUACAAUCUACUUCUUGCUCAAAGAUUGAAAACAAUUUUAUCUAUGUUAGCAGUUGAAGAAACUGCUCAUCCUCAGUCACAUGUUAUGGAAAAAAUUCCAUCAAAAUAAAUCAUUUUGGAGACUCCUCAAGCUCCUGAAAAUGAGCAAUAAAUUGGUCAUUACUCUCCUAUCGCCAACAACCUUCAGCAAUUUCAUAUGGAGCGGGAUUUUUCUCCGCUAACACAUGGGAGUGAUGAUGGUUUAGGUGAGGUUGGAGAGACUUCUGGUUAUAACAUAACUAGAGGAGGAAGACUGAUUAAACCGACUCAAAAAAUUCAAGAUAUGGAAUGGACAAAUGUUAGAGAAAAAGGUAAACGAGGUCGUCGCAGCCGAGAGAACCAUGUUCACUAGCGGUUGUCUUUUUCUUUAUCUUUCUCUCUUAAGAUUCACUUGUUGAUCUUUCUCUAAGGUGUUCUCUCACUCUCUAUUUGAUGCUCUCUUUUUCAAAUUUAUGGGUGAGAAAAUUCAUUCGUACCUUGUAUUUUUACUUAUGCAUUUUAAUAUGAAAACCUUGUUACAAAAAAAAACUAAUUGUUCUUCUUUUUUUACUGGGAAAAGGUUGAUAAUAUAUUUUUUGUCAAGGGAAAAGGUUGAUUAAUAAUUCCAAAAUUAAGUAACAAAAAGCGGAUACGUGCAUGGGAAUGUGAUGGGUAUGGUACUCCAUAUAUUAAGCCAACUAGCCAA